UUUAACAGGGAGUGGGGCCAAAUUUUCUGUUCAAGGGUGUAUGGGGAGUGAGUAGGGCACCAGGAAAGUGGAGGGGAGUUUUCUACAGUGUAUCAAAUACAGAAAAUAUUAAAGAAAACUGAAGCCAAAGCAUCAUCACAACGGAAUUCUGAGGGGUUUAUUUUGGGCAUCAAGUUUAUUUAUUUUUUCGACACCCAGAAACUGUGGGAUUGAAUUUGAUAUCAAAGUUUCAUCUGUUCCAGUAACCGCUUUGGAUUAAGUCAAAGAUGCAGGUUGAACAUGCUGCCAGCACCAACUUUCCUAAACGUCAGCCGCAUGAAUUAGCCUUCUAUACGAGACAAAUUACUUCUAUUCCAUCUAUGCAACAUCCUGCACCUUCUGGCUAGUUUCCACACAGCCUUUGUCUUUUUACACAUCUUUACACAAUGUUUUGAUCGAGGGCUAUUGGUCCUGAACAUAUGCUUUUCUUUGCAACUCCAGGAAUCAGUAAAUUCAGGGAAAUGACUUAUUUUAUGCUAAGCUCAAAAUGUUUUCUUUACAUUCUUGAUGAAAUCAUGUCAUCCAAAUUUUCAUUCAGUCCACAAACAUGUGGAGACUUAGCCAAAACAGAGACUUUCUUCAGACCUGCUGGAACUCACCUCUCAACUUUGACCUGGAACAGAAGUCAUCAGGCCCCAUGCAAAAGCCCCAGAUCACCCUGUGAUGAUUAUACCAUUUACUCCUGUGUUACUGUCCGUGUAUUGUUUUAUAUCACUGUAUUCGUGUCAUAUAAAUGGAGACCAUAAUAGUCACUCAUGCUGAGACAGGAUCAGCCCCCUCAUUCUCUAUAUAACAUUGGGAAAUGAAAGCCAAAAACUGAUCCCAGUUAGCAUAGUCUCUUCAUUUCUAUACCUAUGACUUCAGACGUAUGCACCUCUGUAGAAUGUGCUGUAAGGCACUGAUACAGAUGAAAUAUCCUAAAAAUACUUGUUUUAUUUCGGAAAGGUAAACAUAAACCGUGUCACCAUGUAUAACUGUGUGUAGUCUGGAUUAUAUCUGUGAAAUGUGUGAAAGGUAGAAGCGUUAAAAAAAAAUCAUAACUAAUACUUUAAACAUUAAUGCUGAUCCACCACAGAUGGAACGGUUUGGGCAAGGACAAGUAAAGGCUUACUUAAACCAACUGUGUUUUUGAACAUCAAAAUGUGCCAUCGUGUGUAGUCGUAGCCAACAAGCCUAUUCAGACAGUAGUGCUGGUUAAUUUGUUCUAUAGAAAAACAGACUAAUGACUGGACUAUUGAACUUGUAUGAACUUUCCAUCCUGUACCAUCCUUUAGAACAAAGAUUUCCAACCCUGGUUUUGGACCCUAUGUCCUGCACAUUUUAGUGUUUUCCCUUAUCCCAACACAUCAGAUUCAGCUAGUCAGCUAAUAAAGAGCUCUAAGUUGACAUGGGUGAGCAAGGAAAACAGAAAACUGUGCAGAACAGAGGGUUCUGCAAGACCAGGGCCAGUUAGAUCAAAAGAAACAGUGUUAUGCUGCCCUCUAGAGGCUUUGGAGAUGAUGAAAAGCCUUUGUUUUGACCAGUACUUUUAAAGAAUCCAGAAAACCAGAUGAAACAUAUAUGGUAAGACAUUAAGCAACUGCUGAUCUCUGAGAUCUCUGAUAUCAAAGCAUUUCAUUGCAUAACAAUAAAAUUAGCAAAUAUUUGAUCAAUGAGUGGGCAAGUCAAUGGCAAACACAGUCUAUUAAUGACUCAAAGAAGAUGGACAAACAAGCUGAAAACCAGACCAAGAAACACAGUAGGUUUCAGAUACAUCAGGUUUUAGAGUCCUUAAGAACUAAUAUAUAGUUAUAGUUACCGUAGAAUGCAGGUAACAGUCAUUUACUGUUGAUAUGUCUAUUCUAGCAACUAUUAAUUAAAAUUUCAGGAUUUAACCAUUUUAUUCUAUUCAAGUCCUUGUCUUAUAUGGCUUGUCUUUUAAAUGUCUGAGAUCAUAUUGGUCUUCAUGUGGUCAAGUAGGAGUUCUGGAGGACAAAAUGACUACUGUUCUUGUCAAUGAAAAGUCUUUGUGUUUACUGAAAUUCUGUUUUCAAUUUUUUUUUCUCUCUUGCUGUGUUCUAUGUUCUAUGUUUAACCAGUGUUCAGCAGACACCUGGACAGUAAGGUUCUGACUGUAGUGCUUUUUUAAUAAACAGUUGCUUACU